GCACAUGCCUGGGAUCCUGUGCAGGUCACCUAGCACCGGACACAGAGCGGCUUGGACAGCUGGACAGAGGGUGGCUGAAGAGUUAGAGAUCUGAGUUAAGCGUGCAGGGCUCCAAGGUUAAGAUCCUGCUGGAGGGCGUGGCUCCUGCACAAGAUUUUUUACUCCUGAGGGCCCAAAUGAGGGAUGCUUUCCUCCAGAGAUUUCUGUCUAGUUCUGCUGUGAAUCAGGUGCACCAAAGACUUGAAGACAUGUCCAUCACCUUUGAGCAUCUCAUAUCUGCAAGGACUGCCAAACUCAACUCCUCCACCUUGCUCUUUGUCCCAGGCUCAGGAUCCUAAUUGCAAUGAGUCAUCUUCCUAGAGAAGGCAGCUUCCGUAGGAUUCUAGCCCUGCAUGGUAUGAGUUCCAGACUGGAGGUGGAGGGAGAGAUAAGAGCAGCCUCCAUGAAGAUGUGAUUCUUGAUCUGAGACUUGCGGGGUCAGCAGCUCCUUGGCCAACAGAUGGGAGAAUGGGAAAAGGGAGAGGUUUGUAGGAAAUGAAGGCUGGGAGAGGCAAAGCCAAUUGGCUCAAGGUCACAUCCAUGAACAUUUCUCUAAAGUUCUACUUUCCAGACCACAGCAAGUCAGCAAGAUCAAGAGGGUCUUAGAAUAAGUUCUUGACAAAAAGAAUAAACCUCCGUCUCACCC